CGGACUUUUCACUCUUAAAAAUACUGGGUUAUUUUAUUGACCCAACCACUGGGUUGAGGCUGUUUAACCCUGUAUUAUGUAUAUUCAACCCAUAUUGGGUUACUUUCAGUAACCCAGUAGUUGGGUUACUGGUUUUGGACUGUGCCUUGAUCUGAAUAACCCAACCAAUGGUCAUUUUAACCCAGUGGUUGGGUUACAUUCAAGUUUGGGAUCCUCCUCCAACGGUCUUUUUCUUUUCCUCCGAGGCGGGAGAACACUUUUGGAAACACUGAAGCGGUUGAAUAUGGAGGACUUUGUUAAACUAAAGUUAACAGAACGGCAACUUCUUGAGCUGAUUGACACUUUUGCAGAUUGUGCAGGACUUCGAGGUUCUUCAUAAAGAGGCAUCAGACUAAAUCUUUGACCUGGAGGAGGUUCAGCGAGAAGCUUGCUCAUGCGGCCCAGUGGGAGGGGUAGAAGCUCCACGUGCAGACAGAGUCUUUGUCUCAAGUUAGAAAUUAUAACAUCAACAUAACCCUUAGAUUUGUAUAUUUGGAUUUGUGCAUUAUUCGAGCCAUAAGCUACUCUAUGAUAAUAGAUAAAUAAACUAUGAUAAUACUUAUGUCAAACUAUUUUCUUUCUUUACAGGCUCCAAAGACUACAUUGCCCUGAUGGUUCUGCCAAGCCUGAUUCCACCUGCAGUCUUCAGAAAGGGCCGAAAGACCGUGAGGACUACAGUGUCUGACGCCAUGAAGGCCUUCAUCGAUCUUAAGCCUGUCGGAGCCAACAUGGUGGAGUACCUUCAGGCAGCAGAGCAGACCAGGCCAUACCCCUGCACCCUGGUGUUGGGAGGCGAGGACUGCUGCUCUCAGGCAUUCACCGUUCUCAGUGAGCCGGCCCUGGAGCACGACAGCGUUGUCCAAGCUGUACAUGUUUGUGUCAAAUGUUUUUAUGUGUUUGAUAUCAAUUUCCCAAAGCAGUGUUUCUCUGCUUAGCAGUUCCUCCAGAAAGAAUGGGGGGGUGGUAGUUUGUUUUUUGGAAAUGCUCAUGCGAUAAGGGAAUUCUCUCUCUCUCUGUCUCUCUUUCUCUCUC